CCUACGGGAGGCAGCAGUGGGGAAGAUUGCACAAUGGGUGAAAGCCUGAUGCAGCGACGCCGCGUGAGGGAUGACGGCCUUCGGGUCGUAAACCUCUUUCAGCAGGGAAGAAGCGAAAGUGACGGUACCUGCAGAAGAAGCACCGGCUAACUACGUGCCAGCAGCCGCGGUAAUACGUAGGGUGCGAG
rnacentral:rRNA from 1 species